AUUGGACGCUGGCGGCAGGCCUAACACAUGCAAGUCGAGCGGAUGAAGGGAGCUUGCUCCUGGAUUCAGCGGCGGACGGGUGAGUAAUGCCUAGGAAUCUGCCUGGUAGUGGGGGAUAACGUCCGGAAACGGGCGCUAAUACCGCAUACGUCCUGAGGGAGAAAGUGGGGGAUCUUCGGACCUCACGCUAUCAGAUGAGCCUAGGUCGGAUUAGCUAGUUGGUGGGGUAAAGGCCUACCAAGGCGACGAUCCGUAACUGGUCUGAGAGGAUGAUCAGUCACACUGGAACUGAGACACGGUCCAGACUCCUACGGGAGGCAGCAGUGGGGAAUAUUGGACAAUGGGCGAAAGCCUGAUCCAGCCAUGGCGCGUGUGUGAAGAAGGUCUUCGGAGUGUAAAGCACGUUAAGUGGGGAGGAAGGGCAGUAAGUUAAGACCUUGCUGUUUUGACGUUACCAACAGAAUAAGCACCGGCUAACUUCGUG
rnacentral:rRNA from 1 species